AUGAACGCUGGCGGCGUGCCUAAUACAUGCAAGUCGAGCGAACAGACGAGGAGCUUGCUCCUCUGACGUUAGCGGCGGACGGGUGAGUAACACGUGGAUAACCUACCUAUAAGACUGGGAUAACUUCGGGAAACCGGAGCUAAUACCGGAUAAUAUAUUGAACCGCAUGGUUCAAUAGUGAAAGACGGUUUUGCUGUCACUUAUAGAUGGAUCCGCGCCGCAUUAGCUAGUUGGUAAGGUAACGGCUUACCAAGGCAACGAUGCGUAGCCGACCUGAGAGGGUGAUCGGCCACACUGGAACUGAGACACGGUCCAGACUCCUACGGGAGGCAGCAGUAGGGAAUCUUCCGCAAUGGGCGAAAGCCUGACGGAGCAACGCCGCGUGAGUGAUGAAGGUCUUCGGAUCGUAAAACUCUGUUAUUAGGGAAGAACAAAUGUGUAAGUAACUAUGCACGUCUUGACGGUACCUAAUCAGAAAGCCACGGCUAACUACCUG
rnacentral:rRNA from 1 species